UACGAAGGGGGCUAGCGUUGCUCGGAAUCACUGGGCGUAAAGCGCACGUAGGCGGGUCUUUAAGUCAGGGGUGAAAUCCCGGAGCUCAACUCCGGAACUGCCUUUGAUACUGGAGAUCUUGAGUCCGGGAGAGGUGAGUGGAACUGCGAGUGUAGAGGUGAAAUUCGUAGAUAUUCGCAAGAACACCAGUGGCGAAGGCGGCUCACUGGCCCGGUACUGACGCUGAGGUGCGAAAGCGUGGGGAGCAAACAGGG
rnacentral:rRNA from 1 species